rnacentral:rRNA from 1 species
AGUGAACGCUGGCGGUAGGCCUAACACAUGCAAGUCGAACGGCAGCACAGUAAGAGCUUGCUCUUACGGGUGGCGAGUGGCGGACGGGUGAGGAAUACAUCGGAAUCUACUUUUUCGUGGGGGAUAACGUAGGGAAACUUACGCUAAUACCGCAUACGACCUACGGGUGAAAGCAGGGGAUCUUCGGACCUUGCGCGAUUGAAUGAGCCGAUGUCGGAUUAGCUAGUUGGCGGGGUAAAGGCCUACCAAGGCGACGAUCCGUAGCUGGUCUGAGAGGAGGGUAGGCCACACGGGAACGGAGACACGGUCCAGACUCCUAAGGGAGGCAGCAGUGGGGAAUAUUGGACAAUGGGCGCAAGCAUGAUCCAGCCAUACCGCGUGGGUGAAGAAGGCCUUCGGGUUGUAAAGCCCUUUUGUUGGGAAAGAAAAGCAGCAGGUUAAUACCCCGCUGUUCUGACGGUAACCAAAGAAGAAGCACCGGCUAACUUCGUG